rnacentral:rRNA from 1 species
CCUACGUGGAGCAGCAGUGAGGAAUAUUGGUCAAUGGCCGGAAGGCUGAACCAGCCAUGCCGCGUGAAGGUCAGUGCCCUAUGGGCGUUAAACUUCUUUUGUGCGGGAGCAAUAAUGGUCACGUGUGGCCAGACGAGAGUACCGUACGAAUAAGCAUCGGCUAACUCCGUGCCAGCAGCCGCGGUAAUACGGGGGAUGCAAGCGUUAUCCGGAUUUAUUGGGUUUAAAGGGUGCGUAGGCUGUGAGGUAAGUCAGCGGUGAAAUGCCCCCGCUCAACGGGGUGAAGUGCCAUUGAUACUGCCUUGCUGGAAUGCGGAUGCAGUGGGAGGAAUGUGUGGUGGAGCGGUGAAAUGCAUAGAUAUCACACAGAACACCGAGUGCGAAGGCAUCUCACGAAUCCGCGAUUGACGCUGAUGCACGAAAGCGUGGGUAUCAAACAGGAUUAGAUACCCCAGUAGUC